UACGUAGGGGGCUAGCGUUGUCCGGAAUCAUUGGGCGUAAAGCGCGUGUAGGCGGUCCGGUAAGUCCGCUGUGAAAGUCGGGGGCUCAACCCUCGGAUGCCGGUGGAUACUGUCGGGCUCGAGUACGGAAGAGGCGAGUGGAAUUCCUGGUGUAGCGGUGAAAUGCGCAGAUAUCAGGAGGAACACCAAUUGCGAAGGCAGCUCGCUGGGACGUUACUGACGCUGAGGCACGAAAGCGUGGGGAGCAAACAGG
rnacentral:rRNA from 1 species